UACGUAGGGUGCGAGCGUUAAUCGGAAUUACUGGGCGUAAAGCGUGCGCAGGCGGUUCGUUGUGUCCGAUGUGAAAGCCCCGAGCUCAACUUGGGAAUGGCAUUGGAAACUGGCGGGCUGGAGUGUGGCAGAGGGGGGUGGAAUUCCACGUGUAGCAGUGAAAUGCGUAGAGAUGUGGAGGAACACCGAUGGCGAAGGCAGCCCCCUGGGCCAGCACUGACGCUCAGGCACGAAAGCGUGGGGAGCAAACAGG
rnacentral:rRNA from 1 species